rnacentral:lncRNA from 1 species
UGCACCAUCGCAGGUGGAUUUCUUCAUUCCUCUGCUGAUUUUUAGUUCCUUCUUUUUCUCCUUUUUCGUUCUCUAUUAGUUUUCUUGGCCCUUCUCCUUCUCUUCUUCCUCCUUUUGUCCUCUAAUGAUUGGCUUUGAGGGUUUUAGUGAGAGUUGGUCUUCUAAGCCCUCUCCUGCUUUGGGGGAAGAUCCUAUCGGUUCUGAC